AUGGUGAAGCAGAUUGAAGAUGCUUUUAAAGAAUUCAUCUCAAGGGAGGACAUUGGGCAAUAUGGCAGAAUCCGUACAUCAUUUCAACUGCUGCUUUUAACUUUGACAUGGAGAAUGUCGAAUAAAUUAGCAUACUUUGAUGAUUGUAAGGAUUGUUUUGAUCUUAGUGUCAGAGAGAAUACUCGUUGGACAGUGAAAAAGGAUGCUGGUGUUGACGUCUCUAUCGAUGAAGUGAUACCAGUAACAAGGGAUGGAGCGAUUAGAAUAGGUGGUACGUGGCUACAUUUGCUGAUUGGAAGUAGAAGUAGGCGAUCCCCCUAUGAUCGUUCUUACAGAAGAAGACGAUAUGAUCAUCCCUUCAUUUUGGGAUUACAAGCCACAAUUACUUCACACAGUGACGAAAUUACAAUUAUUAACGUCAGUAGUCGUGAUUUAGUGGAAAGGGCAUUAAGGCAGCAGCAUGUACCAGACUAUAUCAAUGCCGGAUCGUCACCAAAUUUUUCAGAUGAUUUUGAUGGUGAACUUCUGUUUGAUGAUCGAGAGAGUGAAUUGUUUGAUGAUCAAGAGGCUUCUACGAAGGAGAAAGAGGACGAUGCUAUAUUAUUGGGGUGUUUUAAAACAAGAAUUUUUCGUGCUGCUGAUGGUGUAAACAAUCCCACAGAAACUUGUGCCAUAUGUCAAGCGGAAUUUGAGCAUGAAGAGUCCAUUGGGACACUUGGGUGCGGACAUGAAUAUCAUACAGGUUGCAUCAAACAAUGGUUGAUGAGGAAGAAAGAUUGUCCCAUGUGUCGAACUUCUGUUUUGCCCUUAAAGCAUAGCAUAUAGAGAUUGUUUUAUUAUUAUAAAAUUUCGUUGUAUUAAACGUAGUAAGACAGUUAGUUAUUCUCAAGUAGUGGAUGUAACGCACUAAAUAUUUUUUUAUAAAUACAAUAACAAUUUGUUUCCUAUCCUAAA